GACGAACGCUGGCGGCGUGCCUAACACAUGCAAGUCGAACGGAGUUCUUGUGAUUGAAGCUUCGGCAGAUUUCACUUGAACUUAGUGGCGGACGGGUGAGUAACGCGUGGGUAACCUGCCGUAUGCAGGGGGACAACAGUUGGAAACGACUGCUAAUACCGCAUAAGCGCACAGCAUCGCAUGAUGCAGUGUGAAAAGCCGAGACGGCAUACGAUGGACCCGCGUCUGAUUAGCUAGUUGGUGAGGUAACGGCUCACCAAGGCGACGAUGCAUAGGGGUUCUGAGAGGAAGGUCCCCCACACUGGUACUGAGACACGGACCAGACUCCUACGGGAGGCAGCAGUGAGGAAUAUUGGUCAAUGGUCGAGAGACUGAACCAGCCAAGUCGCGUGAGGGAAGACUGCCCUAUGGGUUGUAAACCUCUUUAGUCGGGAGCAAAAAAGCGGACGUGUCCGCCAUUGAGCGUACCCGAAGAAUAAGCAUCGG
rnacentral:rRNA from 1 species